rnacentral:misc_RNA from 1 species
GGCGGAUGGGAGCUGUGAAUGGAAUGAAUCCUAAUGGGACGGUUGAUGAAUCGUGCAUGCAGUCACGUGAGAUCUGGACGGGGGUGACCUAUGGCCUGGCUGCCACAAUGCUUCAGGCAGGGAUGGAGCACCAAGCUUUUACUACUGCAGAAGGUAUUUUCACGGCUGGCUGGUCAGAAGAAGGAUAUGGGUAUUGGUUUCAGACCCCGGAAGGAUGGACGACUGAUGGUCACUACCGCUCCUUAAUUUACAUGCGUCCGCUCGCAAUCUGGGCUAUGCAGUGGGCACUGUCUCCCCCAAAAGCGAUCCUUGAGGCCCCAAAAAUCAACAUGAUGGACCGAAUCGAC